GAUUAACGCUGGCGGCAUGCCUAAUACAUGCAAAUCGAACGAAGCCUUUUGGCUUAGUGGUGAACGGGUGAGUAACACGUAUCCAAUCUACCCUUAAGUUUGGGAUAACUAGUCGAAAGAUUAGCUAAUACCGGAUAAUAACAUUCACUUGCAUGAGUGAAUGUGGAAAGUUGCGUUUGCAACGCUUUUGGAUGAGGGUGCGACGUAUCAGAUAGUUGGUGAGGGUAACGGCCCACCAAGGCGACGAUGGGUAACCGGCCUGAGAGGGUGAACGGUCACAUUGGAACUGAGACACGGUCCAA
rnacentral:rRNA from 1 species